GGCCCCGAGCAUUGCGUCGGAUUGCAAACCCGAAGUCGACCAUACGGGUCCGGGGCUU
rnacentral:tRNA from 1 species